rnacentral:lncRNA from 1 species
UGGAAAAUGGAGAAGCUGUGCUAAUAGAGGGGGGCCAGAAAUCCCCACUCUAGAAUGCUGUAGAAUGUUGGGAGACACCCAGGAUGUGAGCCAGGGACUUUCUGGAAGUGUUUGUUCUGGCCCCACCCGACCCCAGGCAGUCCCCAGCUGUCUGCACAGUCGGAUGGGGAGGGGGCUUGCACAGAGUUGGAGCCAGAGGAGAGAGCUGGCUCAUCCCCUACGGUAGGAUGGGGAAACCUCACAGACCACAUUGUCACCCGGCCUCAGCUCUCCGCCCCGGCGCUCAGAGGGUAACUCUCACCCACCUCGUCCGCUUCUCUGAACCAGAGUGACCCAGGCUGCGCUCCGCCCCGCUCUCCUACCCCGAGUUGGCACGGAGGGCUGUGUGGAGAAGAUUGGGGGCUGGCUGAGGAAAAAUGUGCUGGUGGUAGCUGCAGCAGCCCUUGGAAUUGCUUUUGUUUUGGGAAUUGUCUUUGCCUGCUGCCUCGUGAAGAGUAUCAGAAGUGGCUACGAGGUGAUGUAGGGGUCUGGUCUCCUCAGCCUCCUCAUCUGGGGGAGUGGAAUAGUAUCCUCCAGGUUUUUCAAUUAAACGGAUUAUUUUUUCAGACCGAAAAGAGAUGGUCUGAGUUUGUCUUAG